ensembl:lncRNA
GUACAGGGAGAAUCGACACAACCGAGCAGCAGAGGCCACAUGAGCCUUGAAGAUGUGUCAGCAGCAGCCUCCUCUCAAACUGGUCCAAACUGGAAUAACAUCAGGCUGCCCGCUACCAACCAGCCAAUCAGCACAAUCUAUUCUCCAGACGAAUCAGAGGCCAGCGUUGACAUGGAAGAAAGUCCUCCACCUGUAGAAAAUCAGCAGAACCAGCAGCAGAAUCAGCAGAACCAACAGCACAAUCCAGACAACAGAGAUGAAGAUUGUAUGGAACUCGAUGAUGUUGACCCUGAAACUGGAGAGCGAGCACAAGGAUGACCCCGUCCCUACCUGUCAGUCACUGCUGCCCCGCCCCCAUACAGAUACACCUGGAUUUGUCUCUGUGUUUUACCAUGAAUACAAGGAACUUGAAAGCUGAGAGAUUUAACUUUUUCCCUGCUGUCACCUGAAUCACCUGUGCUCACCUGCAGCAGGUGUCUGAAGUUCCCAACAGACUUUAAUAUGGUUGUAUCUAAAACGGUCAACCUCUAGUUUAAAUGUCUGUCUUCUGACAGAAUUAAUUUCAGGUCUGAUGUUCUCCUAUAAACAGUUAUCAGUUGUUGAUUUGUAAACUAUUGAUAAUCAGGUUGAAUGAGAAAGUCCUCUAGGUGUGAUGCUCUGAGGUCACAGAUGAACUUGUGAGUUUUAAUGUUGGAUGUGUUUCCAGCUGAUAUUGUUAUUGUCUUGUGAUAAAGUUCAUCUGAGUAAAAAAAUAAAUAAUAUUUGGUAACCUGUGUCAUUUCUUAAUAUACAGCAACAUGGUGGCUCAGCCUGAUGUGAUUUCAGGCAAAGAAUAGUCUGUCA